UUUGGCCUACGGGAGGCAGCAGUGAGGAAUAUUGGUCAAUGGGAGAGAUCCUGAACCAGCCAAGCCGCGUGAGGGAAGACGGCCCUAUGGGUUGUAAACCUCUUUUGUCGGAGAACAAAACCCGGGACGUGUCCCGGACUGCGUGUAUCCGAAGAAAAAGCAUCGGCUAACUCCGUGCCAGCAGCCGCGGUAAUACGGAGGAUGCGAGCGUUAUCCGGAUUUAUUGGGUUUAAAGGGUGCGUAGGCGGUCCGUUAAGUCAGCGGUAAAAUUGCGGGGCUCAACCUCGCUCCGCCGUUGAAACUGG
rnacentral:rRNA from 1 species